UCUACAGAGUGAGUUCCAGGA
rnacentral:piRNA from 1 species